CCUGUUGGCGGUGACAUCCCAGUCCCGCCUCCCCUGCCACCUGACAACCAGGAAUCUGCUUUCUGUCUCUACAGAUUAGCCUAUUCUGGGCAUUUCAUAGAACUAUAUCAACUAGUGUGUGUCUUUUGUGUUGGCUUCUUUCACCAAGCACAGUGUUUUCAAGUCCAUUUUGUGGCAGCAGGAGGGAUCACAGCUUCCUUCCCUUUCAGGGUUCCACAGUGUUCCACCGUAUGGAUGGACCACAUUACCUUAUGGAUGGACCACAUUUGGCUCAUCCAUAUGCCCACCAGUGGCUGCUUUCUGGGCAUUAUGACUAACACUGAUGUGAGCAUUUCUGUACGUUUUUCUUUGACUCCCUGCAGAAUUUUGGUGUGGUCUGAUUCUCGGGUCUCACUUGACACGGCCUCCUCUGGCAAGUGCCUGCUAAGACUGUAAUUCACUGAUUGGCUAUCCUGGGAUUUGUUUUCCUCAGAUGAGACUGGUGUUUUUUGCAAAUGGAUUACUUAAAGGUGUCUUGAAGGGGUAUGAUACUGCGAUAUGCACCUUUCACUGCCUGGAAUCUUCCUGAGUUUUGUCUUGGUCGAGCUGCCUUCCAUGUACAGGGUGGAGGCUGAAACCCAUGCAGACAUCCCCAGUCACUCAUGAAGGCCUGCUGUUCAGGGUUCCCUGCUUUAUUCCCUGUGCCAUGCCCUGCAUGAUGCCAGUACCGUGGGGCCCAUGGGUUACCAAUCUGCAAACACGAGAGACACGGCUCAACAAAACCUCUCCACAACCAUGGAAAGCACGGGGCUGCUGAGCGCGACCCAGAGAACCGCAGAGUGUGUGUCUCAAGCUCUCUGGCCACAUGAACCUGUUGGGUGGGUUUUUGGGUCCCACUGGCUGCCCUUUUUACAUGGCUAUUUUUCUGGGCCUUUCUCUUUAAAAUGUUGACCAACAUGAAUUUUAAAUUGUUGAGUUUAGGUGCAUAAAAUGUAUAUAUAAUGGAAUUUGUCAGCUUUUCAAGAUGCAGCAUAGAGUCUCUGAUCCUUUGAUGGCGUCCCCACUUCCCUGUGGACAUAGGGCUUGCCCUCUUGCUUAUUUUAGCAGCUCAAGUCCUUUGCCCUCAAUUUUUUUGCUUGUCUUAUCCAGCAGAGUCUCAUGCACGGUUACUUUUAGUUAUCAACACACUUCCCUGCUCAUUUGUUGGUUCCUUUAACUGACCUUCAAGAGAUCCUAGAAUCAAGAUGGUGCCGUGAUCAGGGAGCAACCAAAUAACCUUUGCAAAUCUAUCUCUAAAUACAUACACACACGCCUGCACACACACAAAUGCAUUCAUAUGUGCGUGUGUAUGUACACACAGAUUGAGUAUCCCUUAUCUGAAGUGCUUGGGACCAGGAGUGUUUUGGAUUUCCAAUAUUUUUGGAUUUUGGAAUAUGCACAUACAUGUAAUGAGCUAUCUUGGAGGAUGAGACCCACUUAUGUCUAAACGCAAAACUCACUUAUGUUUCAAACAUACCUUAAAACACAGCCUGAAGGUAAUUUUAUAUAAUAAUUUAAAUAAUUUUGUGCAUGAAACAAAAUUUUGACCUCUAUCACAUGAGGUCAGGGGUGGAAUUUUCAGUGUCAUGUUGAUGUUUACGAAAUUUUGGAUUUUAGAGCAUUUCAGAUUUCAGAUUUUCAGAUUAUAAGUGCUCAACCUGUCUAUAUAAGUGUGUUCAUUAAUUUGCUUUCAG
rnacentral:lncRNA from 10 species